CACAAGACCCUGCCCUCACGCGUGUCUCGCGCGCGCGCGCGCGCACACACACACACACACAGACACAGACAGACAGACAGAACGGGCCCCUCGGCGCGCACACGCGCUCCCCACGCCCCCAGCACAGACACACGCAGAGCGGCGAGCCACGCCACGCCUCUCCCGCGUCCCCACGCAGGCUCCGGAACACUCACACCUCCUCGGCGCGUCCUGGCCCUGCACACGCACCCACCGCCGUGUCACGCACACGUGCCGCACCCACCCGGCGCGCCGGGCCUCCCACACACGCGUGUAGCUCCUCCCCCCCACGCGCGUCGUGCCGCGGCCGCACGCGCGACCCCACCUGCUCUCCGCGCGCCCCUCGCGUGGCCCGACCUCCAUCCCGGGCGCGCGCGCGCGGCCCCGCCGGCCCCGCCCGCUGCCGCCGCGCCACCGUCACGUGGGAACGAGCUCCGCCCCGCCCCCGAACUACAGCUCCCGGCGUGCACCGCGGCUGCCCGGCACCCUCCGCGCGGCUCCCCUCAGCUUCCCGCUGCUGCGCGUCCACCGUCGCGGCGGUUACCCGGCCGCCGCCCUGACAGGGCCGGCAACCCGUGGGUCGGCGGGGUAGGGGAGGCUGCGGCGUCCUCCAGCCCGCCGCCAGCCCCGGAGGUAGGGGUACGUACACCCAGGUGUGUGUCCUCGGCCGCUGUGGCACCCCAAAGCGGUACGCUGCUGUCAGCCUGCAGCAGCUGAUUUGCCGAGCGGGUUACCGCCAGCUGCCUGAGUAAGGUGUUUGCACUGGGGUUUCGCUGCACCACAGCGUAAAACCACAAUAAUCGCUGAGAUAACCACUUACCAAAUCCUACUUAAGGGGUGGUGAGAACAUUGCGAUGGCAAGAAUAAAACCAAACAACAUGCACUAAGAGACAGCUCAAACAUUGAAUGUACCAGCGGAGACAGAAAGAGGGUUUCUAUUGCCUGCAGUAAAGAGGAUGUGAAAAAUAUUGCAGAAUUAUCCAUACUUUCCACUAAAAGGUACUGAAAUGAAACUUGAAGAAGGAAAAAGUGAUGCUGCUACCAUCAGACUGAGAACAGUCAAUGACAAAUUAUCACGGGAGACAAAACCCAGAUAUGUCUCUGGAAUCGUUUGAUGCCUCAUAAAACAAAGGUAGUCGUUUGCACAGUGGAAACAUCCUGUAACUGUUACUCUUAGUGCCAGGAUGUUCAGCAGGUGACAUCUAGUCUGCAAUUCCUCUGCAACGUACCAUAACAACAGGGGCUACUGGGCAGGCAAGCUGUGAAUCCUCAGAUUCGUGAGGAGACAGCUGGUGCUCAGGAAAAGCAGAGGAAGGGCCCAGGAAAGAACCAGCCCCAGAACUUACUACAGCCUGUGGAUGCUUUAGAUGCACUAUUUUCUGACAGUGGAUGCAAGCUCAGCAGGGCUUUAUACAGUUGAAGUACUAGUUCUUUUAACUCGCAAUGCUACAUGGAACCUUUUUCAUGGGGCUCAAUGCUGACACAGUCCUGAGAGCUAGACAGAAAACCAAGAGCUGAUGUUUGCAUGGUUGCCUCCACAAUCCCUAUGGCAUUUCAGCCAUUUUGAACGCAGAAGAAAAAUACUCUUCAGGAUCAGAACCUUUGCCUGGUUUUCUACUGUGCUGAGCAGCAGACAGCUGGUGUCCUGUGUGGAUAAUAAACGCAACCCAUGGAUGCGGUACAAUCUGGAUUAUGUCCGAUUUCCACCUGUCACGAGGGCAGGCAGUAUCUGCCGCCCACCUUUGCGGUUGACGUGUUUGUUUUGGGUAAACAGAGCAUUUGUUUAUCAGUGUGACACAGUCACCAGAUGCAGUUGCACCCUAUGGCAUCACAGGAAUUCGGUUUAAAGUGUUUUUUUUUUUAAUACAUUUUUUAUUUGACACUUA